rnacentral:misc_RNA from 1 species
AAAAAAAAGAAACUUAAGAAAAUAAAUUGGAAAAAGAAUAUUUUUAUUAUUGUUAGUAUUUUAUAAGGGCUAGUCCAAAUAUAUACUUAGAAGUCAAAUACUAUUACAAAAAAGAACUAUUGAUCACUUUGAUCUUAAAAUAUUUAGAAGUGAUGAAAUGAACCACAAUUCAUCCGCUCCUAGGAAAGUAAAUCAGGAAAAUAAGUUAAUUGCUAAAUUUCUCUGGGUAACCCUUACAAUGGAGUUUUCACAUUGGUCAAAUAUAUUUACCGUGUACUUUUUUUUGAAGUUUAUUCAUGAAAAAAAAAAAUUCUUUAUCAAGCUGGCUGUUGUUUUUGAGUUAGCCGACGUUUACAAUGAUAACCAAGUCCAAAGGUUAUCAUUUUCCACCAUUAAUCUAAACAAACUUUUUUCAAGUACGGUUUACUAAUUAAAAGAGAUUUUAUUAAUUCUAACGCUAAUCUUCUCCAUGGGUUGCUUUAUCACUCUCAUGUCUUGUGAUUCCCAUAAUUAUCAAAAAGGUGGUAUUAGGCUCUAACCUUAUGCACCUAGUCGCUUAGGAAUGUGCCUUGUUCGAGGCGCAAGGCCUUCUCUAUUUUCAUCAUUGGCAAGCACUUCCAUUGACAAAAA